AGGAAUAUCGCUGCUGGGGCAGGUGAAAGCAGCUACAAGAAGUUAACAUCCUGUGGCAAGUCCUGUAAGAAAAGAGUAAGAAUUUUUACCCAAUGAUCUCAGUUCUCGAUUCAAAUAGAGCGCCAACGAAAGAGAAAAUAUAUCCACGCAAACGCAGGGGAGAGAGAGAGAGACUCCACUGUUAACGAUUUUAACAUCGACCGCCGGCGACUCGAAAACAUUGCAAAAUCGGCGCGAAUUAAAAAAUCGUCGGCGACGACAGAAACGCGGCAGAAACGUUGGAGCGGCGCGUUUCUGGCAGCCCAAGUCCAAAAACAGCGUGCGGCACACGAUGCGGAAUCGCAUCGAAACAGAAACAGAAGUGAAACGGCGGCGACUUACGUCGCGCGUCUAUCGCAAAAACGAACAGGCGCCCAGCGAUGGCAGCAGCGCGAUUUCAGGGCGAUUUAGUGAGACGCUGUUAGUGAUGAAAACGGUACUGCUCCGAGAGAGCGUAAGAGAGAGUAAGCGGGGGAGGGGGAAGAAGAGCGAAGAGAGCUAAGCAUUUUAUUCACUCUCUAUGCGCAUGUAUGUGUGUGUUUAUGGUGUGGGCUACACAGAAAACAAUAGACAAAUGUUUUUACAUAACAUUAGGACAUUAAACAAUAACUAACAUUGAAUAUUACUAGUAACUAUACAAAAAACUUACGAAUAAAGCGGCACAGUUAAACUUCCAGAUUUAAACCAGCUUUGCUUAAUUUUUAAAAAUGCCUAUAACUGCAAGUGUUGUAACUGUUCAAAUCCCAAACAAAAUAAAAAUAUUAUAGAUAUACGUAUAUUUUUCACUAAAUAGUUUAAUUUUAAAAGUAUCGUAGGAAUAAAAAGAGAUUAUAAUCAAACAAUUAAAAAAAUAAAAUAAAAAAUAAAAGGGUUGAAUUAUAAAGACUACAGUUACAAAAAAAAUAAAAAAAUUAAAUAUUAACUUAUGCUAUAAUAAAAAUGCACUCGAAUUAGAUUUUUCCCCGUGUAGCAAUGAAAUAGCUUUUGUAUUUAAGGCAUUUGCAUCUUAUUAUUAAAUUGUUGGGGACAGCUUAUAUAAUUUCAGACGAAAGCAGUACUAUCUGAUAAACUGAUCAUAAAAACGCACGUCAGCAAUGGAAUUAAUGAAUUAAUUCGCGAGCUGCAAAAAUCGCUCGCGUUUCGAGUCGCCCACCAAUGUUGCGGUUUAAAACGCGACCGGCAAGAAGAUACAUUUAAUUGCAAAAGGAAAUGCAGAGAGAAGAGCUAAGAGAAGGCUAAAAUCGUCGGCUGGCUGAAACGUCUGUUGGCCCAUGAGAAAACGACGCCAAACAAAAUGGUGCCGCCUCUAGUGACGAAAGCGACAAACUAACUAACGACUAAAACGACAAACGACAAACAACAGACGACAAACGACGGCGGCGACAAAAAGUCAAUUUUAUCGGAAACUAACAGGCUGCAAGCAGGCAGAGAAAGCUAUGCGGCGGGGAGGAAAAGCCAAGCGGACUUUCCACUUUUUUCACUGGCCUGGAAAAGCUCUCUUUCUCUAUUUCUCUAUGGCUCUGCGGCGCUGGGCGCCUAAUCCGAAUUGCGAGAAAGAUCCGCUUUUCGAGCCAAAAACCACCGAAAAGCCAACAGCUCGCACAAAAUUUCCGCCCAGCGGCACGCCCCCAUUUCGAGUAGCCGCCCCCUUUUGAAGUCCGGGCCAAAAUCCAAGCCAUCCGGCCGGGACAAAGGCGAGCGGCAGACUGAGGAAAAUCGAGGAAAAUUUGAAGCCAAACCGCAGGAAAUACUAGAGAAAAGGAGAUGGUCAAAAGGGGGAGAAUGUGCGACCUGACGAUGUUUUUAGGGGGGGCUAUCACAAAGUGGGCGAGAGUUGGGUGGAAAGUACAGAACCGACAUCUCCAUGCAAUUAGCUUGAUUGUCUCUGCACAUGCGCCCUGGGGAGAACUCCAACCGAGCACUAUAUUUACCCAAAGGCAAUCGUUUUAGUUCGCCUUUCUCAUAAAUCAAGAAGUUGUAUUAUUUUAUGGCUGAGCUCAAAAAGAUUUUAGUUCACACGCAGUGCAAAAACCGCAAGGCAAAUGAGAUAUAAAUAAAAAUCAAGGAAAGCCCACAAGUAAAUGCACAUUGUUGGCCAGCUGCAACAGCAACACAACAGCAGCAGCAGCAACUUCUCCACCAGCAACAUCAAGCGGCAACCGCAGCAACAGCAGCAACAACAGGUCCCCAAACAGAUGUCGUGCGAUUGUAAAAAGCAUGGAAAUAGCCACGGAGGAGGUUAGGGGUAUCUUGCAACAGCUGCAACAUGCAACAUUAUCGUCGAUGCUGCUGCAACAUUGCAGAGGGCGCCACUGUUGUUGUUCCAUGCCACCAGCGAUGCGGCGCACAGCAAAAUCAGCGUGGCGGUACAAUGGUAUAAUGCUAAAGUGGCAAGUGCCCCACCAGCGGGAUACUCAAGCACACACACACACACACACACACACUCUCGCGAACAAGGAAAAUUCGCAAUAAGGCAACAACACAAUACCGAACACAAGCAACAACGGCCAACGGAACCGGUUGUUCAGCAAGCAACAACGAAAACUAGCGCAAAAAGUAGUCGAGGAAAAAGAGGAGACCGCUGGAUGGCAUGGCUCCUCCUUCUGAGCUCCCAAUAUCAAAGAGCCCCAACUAUAACUCAGGAUUUUCUCAAGACGUCUUCGGGCAUUAUGAUGCUAGUAAAAAUCAAAGAUGCUCGUUAGGAUCUUAAGUGUUCCUGUGGUUUGGUAGUGUAUCUUAAUCAUUUACCUUUUAACAUCCUCUUUAUACACCCUGGUAAAAAUAAAUAUCCAGCAACAUGUAAUUUUGAAAACAUAUUUUUUAAAAUAUUAACUAUUUAAAUAAUUUGAUUAAAUCUUUCGCAUACUUAUAAUAACGGUAUUGUAAUAAAUUAAGGAAGAUUUUUAAGGAGAGCUAAGUCCUCUCCCAAAAGUUGAUUUAAGUGGUUUUUUUUAAUGUUGUUUAUCUGUUUACAAGAGCAGAAAGCCGUGAGCUGUGAGGUUGUCAAGUGGUCAAAGCUUAAGUUUAUCCAAAUUUGUUAUCAAUAAAAAAACAAAAAUUGCAAUUAAA